rnacentral:rRNA from 1 species
UGCAGUCGAACGAGGUGCUUUUUGUAGCAAUACGAGAAGUAUCCUAGUGGCGAACGGGUGAGUAACGCGUGGAUGACCUGCCCCAAAGUGUGGGAUAACAGUCCGAAAGGAUUGCUAAUACCUCAUGUGGCUAUCGGGUUUAGAAACUGAUAACUAAAGCAGCAAUGCGCUUUGGGAGGGAUCUGCGUCCCAUCAGCUAGUUGGUGAGGUAAUGGCUCACCAAGGCGACGACGGGUAGGGGACCUGAGAGGGUGGCCCCCCACAAUGGAACUGAAACACGGUCCAUACACCUACGGGUGGCAGCAGUAGGGAAUAUUGCACAAUGGGCGAAAGCCUGAUGCAGCAACGCCGCGUGAGCGAUGAAGGCCUUCGGGUCGUAAAGCUCUUUUCUGAGAGACGAGAUAGGACGGUAUCUCAGGAAUAAGUCUCGGCUAACUACGUGCCAGCAGCCGCGGUAAAACGUAGGAGGCGAGCGUUAUCCGGAUUCACUGGGCGUAAAGCGCGUGCAGGCGGUUCGGUAAGUUGGGCGUGAAAUCUCCUGGCUUAACUAGGAGAGGUCGUUCAAUACUACCGGACUUGAGAGUGAUAGAGGAAAAUGGAAUUCCAGGUGUAGUGGUGAAAUGCGUAGAUAUCUGGAGGAACACCAGUGGCGAAAGCGAUUUUCUGGAUCAUUUCUGACGCUCAGACGCGAAAGCUAGGGUAGUAAACGGGAUUAGAGACCCCGGUAAUCCUAGCUGUAAACGAUGUUAACUUGGCGUCGGUGGAUUAAACCCCAUCGGUGCCGAAGCAAACGCGAUAAGUUAACCGCCUGGGGACUACGAUCGCAAGAUUAAAACUCAAAGGAAUUGACGGGGGCC